rnacentral:lncRNA from 1 species
CACAUGUAGGUUUGUGUGUACGUGUGUAUAAUGUUUGAGAGCUAUAAUGGAUGGAAUGUUCUUUUGAUUUAUCUCUUUGAUUGCUACUGUUGUAUAAAAGUGCUGCUAGACUUUGCAAGUUGAUUUGUAUUCUGAUAGUUACAGAAUUUCUUUAAUCUCUCCUAACAAUCAAGGGGAAUUUUCAGGCUUUUAUAUACAUAUAAUCAUAUUAUCUAUAUAACUUCCCUUCCCAUUUCCAAGUGUUCAUAUUUUUCUCUUGACUAAUCACUUGAUGUGUUCGAAUGAACCACAAACCCCAAAUCUAAGCUGACAGUGUUUCUUCUACUAUGCACUCACAAAGCAGAUGACUUCUGACACUGGAUACUUGCCCCUUUGGGAGAAUUAUUAAUAGACUUGAUGGGAAAGUGCCUGUCUCUUCAGAUAUCUCUUGGCUUCUCUAUGCAGCAUAUUUUGUGUGUGUGUGUGCAGUUGGACAGAAUUUCCCUGGAAUGAGAAUGAUGAGCUUUUCUAUUCUACUGCUAGGACAUCUACAUCUGGCAUGCCAAAUAUUUCUGUCAAGACCGCUGUGUUUCUCCAAGAAUGUCAACAUCAUGCUCACAUGCCAGCUGUGGAUGUUUGAAAGAAAGUGGACCCCCAAAGCAGUGAUGCUGUUAGGAGGUAUGGCCUUAUUGGAGAAGGUGUGGUCUUAUUGGAGGAAGUGAGUCACUGUGGAUCCAGGCUUUAAGGUCUCUUUUGCUCAAGCAUCCCUCAGUGUGACUUUCAGCCAACAUCCUGUAGCACUCUCAGCUCCAGCAACACAUCUGCCUGAAUGCUGCAAUGCUCCAAUUAAUCAUAAAGGACUGAACUUUUGAAACUGUAAGCAAGCUACCCUCAAAUAAAUGUUUUCUUUAUAACAGUUGCUGUGGUCAUGGUGUCUCUCCACAGCAAUAGUAAGUCCUAACUAAUAUGCCAACUGUAUUCAUAACCUUCUUAUUUGUGAAUCUUUCACACAAACACUGGCAGAUACUGCCUUUUCUGUGUGUAGACAGAACAAUAUUUUUCCUUGCUCUUUCAUUUCUGGAGAAUAAUUUGCUGGGUACAUAUUUCUGGCUGUAAGUUUUAUUUUCUCUUCAAAACAAGAAAUGUAUAAUACCAUUCCUUCCUGGUUCUGCUGCUCAUUUUCCUUCCUGGUGCUGCUCUUCAUUUAAUGAAUGUUCCUUUGAAUAUAGUUGGUAGUUCUCUCUUGCAGCUUUUGGUAUUCCGUUUGCUCAGUGCUUAAUCUUAAAUAUGCCACCUCCAUUUUGCAAUAUGCCACCAUGAGGAAAUGUAAUGGUUGGGCUUUCUUAGGGUCUCAUAAGUAACUAAGUCCAGGUACUCAUUCAUUUCCCAACUCUAUCGGACUUUCAGAAAGUCUUUCCUUAUAUAUGGUUGCAUAUUUUCUCCCUCCUUUGGUGUUCCAGAACUCACAAAAUAUUUGUUUAUUUAAUGGAAAACAUGAAUCUCAAUGAGGAUUUUCCAAUUCAUUUUUAUUUUUUAUAAAGUUUUAUAAGGAUUUCUGGAAUACUUAAAAGAUUUGAUUUUCUGUGAUUAAUCUAGAACACACACACACACACACACACACACAACACACACACACACACACACACACACACACACACACACACACACGGUAGGAGAUUUUUAUUUGUUUAGGCAACAGGAUCUUCAGUGUAGCCUCAAAAUUCCCAAGUAACUUCCCCCCACAUACUGGGAUUACGAAUGUAUACCACCACACAUGGAUUUAAUCAAUAUUUUUUCUGCUUAACUUAAUUUCCUAGAUUUCUGUUUGGUUUAUUCCAGGAUCUCCCCACCCCCACCCCUGUCUCUCUGCUGAUGAGUUUCUUUUUUAUGUCAAUUGCAAUUGUAAUUGUACUCUCAGAAGGCUCACAUGUAUCCUAAUGCUUGUGAUUUUGUAUUAAUUACUUGACAUGUGUAUAUUUCUUUCACUGGAAUUCAUUGCUAUAGUUACUAUGUUCUGUUACAGACCAUAGGACCUCGUUUUUCACAUUUCUUGUAACCCUACAUCACAAUAUUGAUGUUUGUGUGUAUUUGGUAGACCCAGUGUCUCUAUUAGUUUUAUGAUGUGACUUUCCUCAUUAAUGACUUUGCCAUGUAUGUUUCUUAGGACGCCAACUUGUAAGUUAUGCUGGCUAUGUUCUGUUUGUGUUCCACAGUGUACUUACUGUUUCUCUAGCUUACUUGCACGUCAUCAAUUUAUCUGGAUACAGUGUAUGCAGCUGUGGCUGUGAGAGUCCUUUUUCUCUGAAAGACACUUUGUGAAAAGGAAAUGGGUUGCUCCAGUGACAGGAUACAAUGGAAGUUGUUUUUAAGGAUGGAAAUGAGGACAAGAGUCACCAUGUGUGUAGUUUGGCAUACUGGAUGCAUAGCAGCAGCAAUGAAAACAGUCAGGGACAAACAAGGCAUGGAGUACAUGUCCUUGCCUUUUUGCAGUUUUAUCUACCUAUAGCCCUUGAGUUUCAUAGCUCUGUCUACCAGACCCUAGCAUUAGAUAAGGGACAAGGCAAGUUCUUUCUCUGACUUCAAGUAGUCUCUAUAAUGUGUGUCCAAGCCUUCUGUUUUGUCUUACCUACCCCUUGGUUAAAACAGCUGACUUAAACAACUUAUUGGGAGGGGUUAUUUAUUUUAGGUGAUGAUUGCAGAGGACACACUUCAUAGUGACAGGGAAGGCAUGAGAGUACAGAUCAAUUCGCACGAGAAUGGGAGGGAAGGGGACAAAGUUAGUGGAGGCAGGCCGAGGACAAGUUAUAGUCCCCUAAAUCAUCUCCCUAGUUCCUGUAUUUUCAGCUAGGCCUCACCAAUGAAGUGCCCCAAAUCUCCAUAGUUUCACCAGCUGAGACUAACCCUGUCUUCUAUUCUUCCCCCAACUCAACCUUCCUGCUCCCUCAUGUCCUCCUCUCCCUUCCUCUUCUCCCCUUCUCAUUCUCCUAGCUUCCUCUUCCUCCCUCCAUGCUCCAAAUUUGCUCAAGAGAUCUUGUCCCUUUCCCCUUCUCUGGGGACAAGUUUUCCUUGUUUCCUAGCUUCUCUGACAGUGUGGAUUGUAGGCUGGUAAUUCUUUGCUCUAUUCUAAAAUCCAUAUAUGAGUGAGUACAUACCAUGUUUGUCUUUUGUUACUGGGUUACCUUGCUCAGAAUGGUUUCUUCUAGUUCCAUCCAUUUGAACUGAACUGGAAUCCAGUUGCAGAGAAGGAGGAGUGAUGAGCAAAGGGGUCAAGACCAGGCUGGUGAAACCACAGAAACAGCUGACCUGAACAAGGAGGAGCUCAUGGUCUCCAUACUGAUAGCUGGGAAACCAGCCUGGCACUGAUCCAGAACCCCUGAAUAUGGGUGUCAGUGAGGAGGCCUCGGAAAUCAAUGGGAGCCCAUCCCACAUGAAGGGAUACUCCCUCAGCCUAGACACACAGGGGAGGGCCUAGGCCCUAUCCCAAAGGAUAUGACAGACUCUGAAACCCCCCUCAUGGAAGGCAUCACCCUCCCUAAGGAGCAGAAAGGGUAUGGGAUAAGUAGGAUGUUGGGGGGGAGGGGAAGUGGGGAAGGAGAGGGAACUGGGAUUGACAUGUAAAACAAUCUUGUUUCUAAUUUAAAUUAAAAAAUGGAAAAGAACAAUGUUGACUCUAUUUCCUUUGAAAAAUAUUGCCUAGUUUUGAAGAAAUUGUGCUAUUUUAAGACCUAAUGUUUUCAAAGUAAAAGGAAAUAAAAAAUGUUGAUUCCACUAUUUAGAAAGGCACAGUAGCUUCGUGUAAUUUAAAUUUAAAUUUUGGUAGUUAAAAAUAAUAAAUAUUCUUGAGGUAUAAACCAAAAUAAUGUUCAGAAUUAUACUUAAAAAUACAAAAUAUAAUGAAGACAAAGCAAACAGAGAAUUACACUGUCACACUGGAGAUACUUGAAUGAAAAAGACAGAGAGAAGACUGAAUAAUCCUGUGACAAUAGCUGAGGAGAUGCAUUCAUUUAUUCUUUCAUUGCUGUCUCUAUUCUCAGUGAGUCAGUUCAAAAGCAAAUUCAGGUAUCCUAGGGAGUUUUGUAUUUCGAGCACUCUUGGAAAGACUAGGACAAAAUAUAUUUUUAAGCUACGGACAUCCCAUGCUCAGGAGGAUUUUCCAGGUAAGUUUCCUUUCUGUUUUUUGUUUGUUUGUUUUCAUUUUCAAGGUGUGUGUGUGUGUGUGUGUGUGUGUGUGUGUGUGUGUGUGUGUGUGUGUGGUUUCUUUUCUACCUUGUUUUGAGACAAGGUUUCUUGGUAGUCAUCGUUGCAUAGGUUGUGAGCUUUUGGAGAUUCUUCUGUUUCCUCUUCCCAGCUUGGCACAAGAAUGCUGCGGUUAUUUAUGUGUGUUACCAAGUUCAGCUUUUCUUGGGUUCUAGGAGUAUGAACUUAGAUCUUCCAGCUUGCAAGGCGAGCAUUUUAUGCACUCAGCCUUCCUCAUCACCCUUGUGUUUUUUUAUGAUAUGACACAAUUAUGCCACUCUUUGGCAUGUGUCCAAAGGACUUAAGUUCCUAUUCCACAGAUAACUGCUCAGCUAUGUUCAUUGCUUUUUUAGUCACAAAACUAGGAAACAAAAGAAACCUAAAUGUUCUUGACCAGAUGAACAAACAGUGAAAAAUAUGAUUCAUGUACACAAUGUAAUACUAUUCCGUUGCAGAAAAAUGAAAUUUGUAGGCAAUGAAUAGAAAAUAUUAUGGAGUAAUGGAGCAAGAAGAUAAAACCACACGUUCUCUCUCAUCUCUGGGUGCUAUCUCUGGAUAAUCAAAUGUGGGUGUAUAAACAACUGGAGUAAAAAUAGAAACAAGAAAAAGUGAGACAGGACCAGGGUGUGGAGGAAUGAAAGAGACAGGCAUAGAAGGACACAGAAAUUGAUAAGGAUUAUUGCACCAUGUGCUGCACUGUGUAAAUUUUCUCCUUUAUUAAGUGUUGCCCAGAAUUCUGCCCUCUUCAUCUCAAAUACCAAGACACCCAUGAAUGAGAGUACCUAAAUUCACUCAGACUUCUAUGAAAAAUUACCACAACCAAGAGAUCUUGUAAAUGGAAAGAUGUAUUUCUCACAGUUCUGGAAGGUUGGAAUCACAAGGCUAGGCCCUAAUGCAUCUGCUGUGCCAAGUCCACCUGCCUAUUCUGUGGCCUUCUUGUGUUGUCCUCACAUUCUAGAAAGGGUAGGGUGUUUCUGUGGUUCCUUUAAUGAAAAAAAAAAAAAUUCCAUCCAGAGAGCUGUGUGCUAAUAACCUUAUCCCUUCUGGUUUCUCACUGCCCCCCCCCCAAUUGGGGAUUAGCUGUAACGAAAUCAGAAAGGAAGGCAACUGACUGAGCAAGAAAACCUGUUAUUUCAAAUAAAGUGAAAUUUUGGUACCUUAGUACAAUGUGACUUGUUCUGUUCAACUGAUAUAAAUUGCUACAAUUCUACUGCCACUAUUUUCAGGAGAAGAAUAUACACCCCUAAAUAAUGGCAGUAAGUCAGAAAUAUGUUGAGCAAUAAUGAAACAAUAAGUCCAUCAUUUAGCUGGAGGAAAAUGCCACACAAACUUUUUGUUGUUUUAUUCAUCAAAUUUAUUUUUUCACCAAAAAUGUUAAAUUGGAAAACUACAGUGGAAAACAGCUCUUCAUAAUGUCCCUUAGUCUUAUUCAUUUGAGCUUGGAUUUAAGGAUUUGAAAGAGAAAUAAUUCAGCAACAUACACUUGUCAGUCAAAGAAGCCACAAAGAGAAUAUAGAGAUCAUUUAGAGUGUCUAAGGAUUCAAAAGGGAGUUGUCCCUUUGAUCUUCCAUUAAUUUCAUUUUAGAGGACAAAAUGGGAGAAUUGACUGGUAAAAUGUUAGGAAGAGUUACCCAACUGGGAACACGUAAAGCAGUAAAAAUAAUUCCUGACAGAGGAAGCAGUUUACACAAAAUCAUGAAUUCCACACAUACAAAUGUCAUAACUGUGGGUCUAAGAGACUGAAGACUGGACUGGAGAUGAGGUACAAUGAAGAGAAAUGAAAGGAUAGGAAACACAAAGCCCUGUGUAUUUCAGAACCACACCAACCACUGUUUCUGCAUAGCAAGUCAACUGAACAUUUUGAUGUCCAACAGAUUAGCGACACUGAAUACAUGAGCUUAUCUAACCCAGAACUAACAUAUUCUGAGCUUGCAUGAUUUAUUUUCUGUUUAUUAAUAUGACUUAUUUGGGAUAACAAUUACCACAUGCAAAUUACUAGGUGAAUUAUUCUUAAACACUCAAAUGUUGCUAGAUGAAUGGGGACAAUUGGCAAGGCCACUUUGGAAAAAAUGGAAAUGUAUAGCAAUCAUUGUGAACUUUUUAAAAAAUUUGGCCCUGUGAUUCUUGUUCAUGGUUCCAAAUAAUCAUAAAUUUUGUUUUACUUUGUCACUCUGAAUAUUUUUGCAUAUAUGUGAGCAGGUUUAUUCAUAUGUAUGUGCAUG